rnacentral:rRNA from 1 species
AACGAACGCUGGCGGCAGGCCUAACACAUGCAAGUCGAGCGCUCAUCUUCGGAUGGGAGCGGCGCACGGGUGAGUAACACGUGGGAACCUACCUUGAAGUAUGGAAUAACUGAGGGAAACUUCAGCUAAUACCGUAUACGCCCUACGGGGGAAAGAUUUAUCGCUUCAAGACGGGCCCGCGUUGGAUUAGCUAGUUGGUGAGGUAAUGGCUCACCAAGGCGACGAUCCAUAGCUGAUUUGAGAGAAUGAUCAGCCACACUGGGACUGAGACACGGCCCAGACUCCUACGGUAGGCAGCAGUGGGGAAUAUUGGACAAUGGGCGCAAGCCUGAUCCAGCCAUGCCGCGUGAGUGAUGAAGGCCUUCGGGUUGUAAAGCUCUUUCAGAUGGGACGAUGAUGACGGUACCAUCAGAAGAAGCCCCGGCUAACUUCGUGCCAGCAGCCGCGGUAAUACGAAGGGGGCUAGCGUUGUUCGGAAUUACUGGGCGUAAAGCGCGCGUAGGCGGCUUUGUCAGUCAGGGGUGAAAUCCCGGGGCUUAACCUCGGAACUGCCUUUGAUACUGCAAGGCUUGAGUCUGUGAGAGGAUGGUGGAAUACCCAGUGUAGAGGUGAAAUUCGU